rnacentral:lncRNA from 1 species
UCCUCAUAAAUUACUUGAAUUUAUAUGAUGUCAGGUGGUGAUCUCAAUGCAUUAUGGAAAAAACAUAGUAGGGUGUUGGACAUCUUGAUUCAGGAUGUGGCUUUCUGAAGUUGUAACAUGUACUGUCUUGGAAUAAUUGCUAAGAAACAAUAAGAUUUCUUGCAUAUAAUACCUCAGAAUGGAACAGGUUGCAGAGACAAAGAUCUUCCUACUCCUAUUUGCAGUUCUUUUCAAGCAUAAUUGCUGAGAAACAAUAAGAUUUCUUGCAUAUAAUACCUCAGAAUAGAACAGGUUGCAGAGACAAAGAUCUUCC